UUAAGUUCAGCGGGUAGUCCCGCCUGAUUCGAGGUCAAAGUUGAAAAAUAUCAUGAUGAUGAGUUAGAAGCAGCCCAAGGCAGGCUUGGCCAUCCCGAGAGAUGUCCUCAGCGGUCAUAAUUAUCACGCUGAGUAGAACCAAAUCCCACAACAAGGACCAGCUAAUACAUUUGAGACCAGCCGUUCCAGACAAGGAGACA
rnacentral:misc_RNA from 1 species